CAAUUAUGUUGCAAUUUUGUGUUUUCCUGUUGCAACAAGUCACAAGAAACCAACUAUAAAAAAACAGAGACCCAAAUGCAAACGGCAGAUUGUGAGACGGGCAUCAAUACUUCACUCACAGCAUUGGUCUAAAAUGAAGUCGGUGGUAGUUUUUCUGCUUCUUCUCGUGGUCAGUCAAGGUGAUGCUUUGAAAUGCAACUGUGGAGGACUGAAGAUUUGCUCCAGUGGUCCAGUGGAAACCUGUCAGGGUUCAAUGAGCUCUGCGGCAGCGUCAUCAUCACGGCUGGAGCUACCCCAAACUUCUUCAAGGGCUGCAUGUCUGCCUCCCAGUGUGCUGCUCUUAAUCGGCCUGGUAUAUCAUCUGCUUUCUGCUGCAGGAGUGACCUGUGCAACAAAUAAAAUCCAGUCAUUCUGUCCAUGUGCUCAUUAUAAUACAGUACAUGUGUCAUUGGAGAAAAUGUCAAUAAAGACUUGUUAAUUAUCAAGCACAUCAUUUCCAAGUUUGAUUACUUUGUAUUCUGUUUGUGAACAUUUCUGCACCCUGAAGAGUAC
rnacentral:lncRNA from 1 species